rnacentral:rRNA from 1 species
GACGAACGCUGGCGGCGUGCUUAACACAUGCAAAUCGAACGGCGACCCUCGGAGCUUGCUUCGGGGUGAACAGUGGCGAACGGGUAAGUAACACGUAAGUAACCUGCCCAGACUUCGGGAUAACGCUUCGAAAGAGGUGCUAAUACCGGAUACGAGCUCCCAGGGCAUCCUGGGGGCUGGAAAGUUUUUCGGUCUGGGAUGGGCCCGCGGCCUAUCAGCUUGUUGGUGAGGUAACGGCUCACCAAGGCGACGACGGGUAGCCGGCCUGAGAGGGCGACCGGCCACACUGGGACUGGGACACGGCCCAGACUCCUACGGGAGGCAGCAGUGGGGAAUAUUGCGCAAUGGGCGAAAGCCUGACGCAGCAACGCCGCGUGAGGGACGACGGCCUUCGGGUUGUAAACCUCUUUCAGCAGGGAAGAAGCGAAAGUGACGGUACCUGCAGAAGAAGCACCGGCUAACUACGUGCCAGCAGCCGCCGUAAUAC